UACGGGGGGGGCAAGCGUUGUUCGGAAUUACUGGGCGUAAAGGGCUCGUAGGCGGCCAACUAAGUCAGACGUGAAAUCCCUCGGCUUAACCGGGGAACUGCGUCUGAUACUGGAUGGCUUGAGUUUGGGAGAGGGAUGCGGAAUUCCAGGUGUAGCGGUGAAAUGCGCAGAUAUCAGGAAGAACACCCGUGGCGAAAGCGGCUCUCCGGGACGGUACUGACGCUGAGACGCGAAAGCGUGGGGAGCGAACAGG
rnacentral:rRNA from 1 species